rnacentral:tRNA from 1 species
AGGAAAGAGAGGGAUUCGAACCCCUCGGUA